rnacentral:lncRNA from 1 species
GAAGUCGCCGCCCGCGUCUGUCCAAACUUAGUCCCAAACUCAGGAGGUUCCUGUCCCAAGAAGCAAUGUAAAGUUUGAAACGAGCCGAGCGCGGUGGCUCACGCCUGUAAUCCCAGCACUUUGGGAGGCCGAGGCUGGCGAAUCAUUUGAGGUCAGGAGUUCGAGACCAACCUGGGCAACAUGGGGAAACGCCGUCUAUACUAAAAAUACAAAAAUUAGCUGGGCGUGGUGGCGCACGCCUUUAACCCCAGCUACUUGGUGAGGCUGAGGCAGGAGAAUCGCUUGAUCCGGGGAGACGGAGGUUGCAGUGAGCCGAGAUUGUGUCACUGCACUCCAGCCUGGGUGACAGAGUGACACUCCAUCUCAAAAAAAAAAAUUUUGAAACGGCCGCACCCUCGCCGGCCCUGCGUCGUCCCCGAAAACCAGACGCCCUGGGGCGCGGGGCCAAGUGCGGCGACCUCCUGCCCUCCCUCUGCGGCUCCCUGGAAACCGGCCUGGACAACGGCACCUGGGCAUCCAUGCAACGGGACCACCGCCCGCUUAAAUUCCUGUUGUGGAACAAGGCUGGACGGUGAUGGGAAUGCUCAGGAUAUGUUAGGUUUUCUUUUUUUUUUGAGACGGAGUCUCGCUCUGUCGCCCAGGCUGGAGUGCAGUGGUGCGAUCUCGGCUCACUGCAAGCUCCGCCUCCCGGGUUCACGCCAUUCUCCUGUCUCAGCCUCCCGAGUAGCUGGGACUACAGGCGCCCGCCACUGCGCCCGUCUUAUUUUUUUGUAUUUUUAGUAGAGACGGGGUUUCACCGUGUUAGCCGGGAUCCAUCUCCUGACUUCGUGAUCCGCCCGCUUCGGCCUCCCAAAGUGCUGAGAUUACAGACGUGAGCCACCGCGCCCUGCCUAUAUUAGGUUUUUAAAUAGCAGGAGGCAAAGCUUUUCGGUGUGAUCCUGACUUCACUUGGGGAAAAAGGGCAGGUAUCUGAGCCUGGGAAAAUGAUCAAGCUAUCAGCCAAAAUGGUAUAACGCCGACUAUAUAUGUACCUUUUUUUUUUCUUUUUUUCUUUUUUAGACACAGGGUCUCACUGUGUUGGCCAGGCUGGAGUGCGGCAGUCUGGAACUCCUGGGCCCAAGUGAUCCUCCAAUCAGCCUCACAAAGCACUGGAAUUACAGAUGGAGUUUUGCUCUUGUUGCCCAGGCUGGAGUACAAUGGCGCAAUCUCGGCUCACUGCAACCUCCGCCUCCGGGUUCAAGUGAUUCUCCUGCCUCAGCCUCCUGAGUAGCUGGGAUUACAGGAGCCUACUACCACGGCCAGCUAAUUUUUUUGUAUUUUUAGUAGAGACGGGGCUUUACCAUGUUGGCCAGGCUGGUUUCAAACUCCUGACCUCAGGUGAUCCACCCGCCUCGGCCUCCCAAACUGCUGGGAUUAUAGGCAUGAGCCACCGUGCCCGGCCCAUAGAUUACUUUUAUAAUCAAGUUUUUCUUUACUUUUUAAAGAGUAAAUUCUCUCACCUCAGGUAGCUCAGAGAGCUGCGCUGGAGGAGAAAAGCCAGUAAGUGAACAACUGGAAUAAACUGGGAAGCUGGAUGGAGAGCCUGGGCCAGAAUCCCGGACCCCUCACCUCUGCGGCCUAGCUUUGUGACCUUGGCAAAUCCAUUCUAUGCACCUCCAUUUCCUGUACAGUGGGGAUCCUUAUUUCUCUGGCACAGAUUGGUAUUUGUUCUGUAAAGCCCAGUACCACUUUAUUUUAUUUUAGUUAUUGAUUUUUUUGAGACAGGGCCUCACUCUGUUGCCAAGGCUGGAAUGCAGUGGCGAGAUCAUAGCUCACUGCAGCCUCAAACUCCUGGGCUCAGGCCAUCCUCCUGCCUCGGCCUCCUGAGUAGCUGGGACGACAGGCGUGCACCACUGCGCCUAGCUCCAGUACCAUGUUUAAACGGUGCUCAGAAAACGUGCUAAACUUGGUGGAUGGGAAUUGAAAAGAGAUUUAAUGUUUUAAAAAUCAAAGUCACUCAGCUGCAGUGCCACAUGGGAAGGAGGCCUGGAUGUGAAUGUUCCUGGGAGCUGAGAGCUCCUGUGACUGUCGCCAGUUUCCUGUGGUCUCCCACAGACUCAGGACAUCUCCCUCUGCUCCAGGACACCUCAGGACCACCAGAGGGCACUCAUCGCACCUUCACCCCUGGAAGGGAGCUGGUCCUGGGGCCAAAACCCACUGUGCCUGGGAAGCCCUUCCUGGCUUCUGCUCUCCUCAAUGUAUGACAGCCCUGAUUUACCCCCAGGGACUGUUGCCACUCGGGGUUGUAGAGUAAUAUGUAACCAGACUGGAGAACCACAGCAAUGCUCUCUCCUCUGCCCAUCACCUCCCCUUGGCCCCUCCCUCUUCAUCAGCCCCAUUUUGGAGAAGGGAGAAAGAAGGGAGAGGCAGCAGUCUCCUCCCAGGUGGGGCCGGACUCCAGGGAAGGAGAAUUUUCAGAAGUUGCUGGAGUUGCCGAAUCUGUCAGGGCCCAGGGUUCACAGAGCAGUGAUGGAGGAGAAAGGAGAGGAAGCAGAUCUAAGCACACAUGGGCAUCAAACCAGAGGAACAAAGUCACAUGCAGAGGGCUGCACAUAGACACAGGGAAACACACACACGGAGAUGCACAGAAACACGCAGACCCCAUGCAGGGACCUGCUUUCCCGCCACAGAGGAAAGCAAUCUGAUCAAACAGACCCACUGUGCACCCAGCCCUCCAUGCUUGGGGACAACACACCUACAAAAAUAUAAGAAAAAAAAGGAAAACUGCUCUGCCUGGGAUGCCUUGCUUGACUUUUCUUGUAAAUAAGCAUUUGAAUGUGUUUUGUUCUAGGAGCUUUCGAGGCAGGCACAAAGGGAGCCCUUUCUCAUGCAGGAAGGUCCCUCUGCAACCUCCCCCUUCCCUCCCCUUCCUGCCAUCCGCCUACAGGCUGAGGUGGCUUUAUUUCUGGGACCCGAGUGUGGAUACCUCCUGUUUUAGAGAACCCUGAGAACCACUGUGCUAUUUCCAAGUUAAACUCCAGGCCGAGAUGAAAUUAGGCUUCUUUUUCUUUCUCUUUUUUUUUUUUUUUUUUGAGAUGGAGUCUCACUCUGUUGCCCAGGCUGGAAUGCAGUGGCACGAUCCCAGCUCACUGCAACCUCUGCCUCCUGGGUUCAAGCGAUUCUCCUGCCUCACCCUCCCGAGUAGUUGGGAUUACAGGCACCUGCCACCACACCCAGCUAAUUUUUGUAUUUUUAGUAGAGACGGGGUUUCACCAUGUUGGCCAGGCUGGUCUCGAACACCUGACCGCGUGAUCCGCUGGCCUCGGCCUCCCAAAGUGCUGAGAUUACAGGAGUGAGCCACCAUGCCUGGCCAGAUUGGUGAUUUUUUUUAAUCACCUGCAGCUCCCAGUCAUUCACAGGCCUCUGCCCCAUCCCCUGUCCAUAUGGAAGCUGAGAGGGCCGCAGGGAGGGGCCUGUCCAGUGUGGCCGCAGCUCUUCCCAGGAGGGAAUCCCUGUCAUCCAAAAGUUUUCUUUCCCCUCCUCUGGCCAUUCCAGGCUAAAGGAAUGAAAGCUCCCUCUCUCUAGGCUGGAAAACAGGUAAACGAUAUGUAAUUUAUGAGCACCAUCAGCCCAAAGUGCACAAGUCAUAUAUGCACAAAGGGG